AUAUAUGUUUCACUUAGGCCUCUCCUGUCACAGGGCCUCGCCCGCUAACAUAUAAUAGCACAUAAAUAUAACACAUCACAUAAGCUAAACACAUACUAACGGAUCUUGUCCUAAGGCCUCACCUGUCUUUGAGCCUCGCCCUUGUCCUGCUACUGAUGAGUCAUGGAACCCUGUCCAUACUCCUGCUGAUAGUGAAGUACGGGCCCAACCCACCCUCACUCUUUACCUAACUUGGGCCUCGCCCCUGAUCUGCUGCUAAUGAGAUGUGGAACAACAUCCACACUCUGAUAUCGGUGAGUUACGGGACCUUGCCCUCACUCACCUCCCUACCAGGCACAUACAAGUAUCACACAGACAACAAAUAUAACUAUCACAUAAACCAUUCCUUGGGCACCCGCCCGCUAUCAUUGGACCUCGUGCUGAAUAUCAUACUAGCAUACUGUGCCUAGGGCUAACCCCCAGGUCUUCUACUCAUAACUACAUGGGCCGGCAUUGUGGCCGUAGACCCAUUCACACAAAAGGGAAACUCACCUGCACUUGUUGAACUUGCUGAUAGCCCCUCUAGUUGAUCCCGGCAACUUCCUGAACUCAUGCUCCACUAGCUCCCCGAGCUACAAAUAUCAAUGCAACACUUAGUCUAAUUGACCCCCGACAGUCAACCCAGUCAACGCUGGUCGAAGUCAAAGUCCUGGUCAAGGUCAACCUUCCAGGUCAACCCUACUCGCCGAGUCAACCUACUGACUCGCCGAGUUCAUAUGCUCAGCAUCCUUCCAUUCGCGACAUGACUCGCCGAGUCAGUCCAUGACUCGCCGAGUCUACCGAUUUCUGAGUCCUGACCUGUCCGACUCACCGAGUCUCCACUCGACUCACUGAUUCGAGUCUCAACUCGAAGGGUUUGGGGUUUUGCGACCUGACUCGCCGAGUCUUAGAACAGACUCGCCGAGUACAAGGCAAUCUUCAUCUGACUCGACGAGCUGUUCAUCCCACUCGUCGAUUUGCUCCUAAUCUUCAUGCUACUCGUCGAGUCCAUUCAGAUCCUCGAACAUGCAGAGGGCUUUUGAGUCAUGCAUGGACUCCAAAAUAUAGAUCUGCCCUUCCCAAGCCUAUUCCUCACGUAAAGUUGCAAACUUUACGUAUAGAGAAGGAGAUCUAGGCUAAACACACCAUAAAAUAGGGUUUAAGGCAAGGAGGCUCUACAAUCAACUCAAGGACAGUUACUUUAUGCUUCACAAGGCCAAAAUAUGCUUAGAUCCGAAGUAGCAACUUCAGAUCUAGCUUCCAACUCAAAUGGAUAACUAAUCAUGGCUAAAAAGCCCCAAAACUCCCAACUAGAAUAGAUCUACAUGAAGGAAACGACUUAGUACCUUCAAUAACUCAGAAAGGUUCCACAAACUCCAGAUCUAAGGCCAAAUCCUUGAAGCUUCAAUGAUUUCCCUCUUCCUUCUUCCUUCAAAUCACCCAAAAAUGGCUUGGAAGCUUGAAUGAGCAACAAUGGGGCUUAGGGUUCGGUGUUUUGGGUGAAAGAGGCAGUAAAGGAACCCUAGGGGAGAGAAUGAGAUGUUUAAAUAGGCUCAAAGUCCCGGAUUUAGGGUUUUCCUCGUUCAGACCAGACUCGCCGAGUCUCCUUGGCCGACUCGCCGAGUCGGUCACUUACUCCUUAACCCGGAUCCCGCUCGGACUCGCCGAGUUCCUCCUUGGACUCGACGAGUCGUCCAUUAUACUUAGGGUUUCCUUUCCUUUCUUGGCCUUCCUGACUUUGGGUGUUACAACUCUUCCCCACUUAAACUAAAAUUCGUCCUCGAAGUUUGCUAUGGCCCACCGCAUGCGAUCUGCUUCCAAUACCUUACUAAUUACACCAACACCAGCUGUCUACCUUCGCUGGUCUUCCGCCCGGUCAUUCUGACUAACAUCAAUCCUUGCGGAUAUUAGUCUCUGGUCAACCCUGACCCUGAACAUUCUGGAAACACAACUUACUCAACCGACAAUCCUUCUGGUACUCACCGAGUACUGCACUGAACCCAUAGGGGUUCACCCCUUCUUUCCUUGCGCAACUUCCUUGCCUUCUCAAGGCGAUGCUCCAUAACCAACUAUUUCCUCUGUCACUGUGAAGAUCCUCUCUUCACCAAAUCGAUUACUCCCGCUACUUCCAGUACGAGUCAUUAUCGCCAGUAUCCACUGGGCAUUUCUUUCUACUAUAAUUUGGUGUCGAGCACCCCACGAUCAACUAACUGAAUUCCACCAUAGACUGCUUACCCGCACUACUACUGACUGAAAAUUUUGCCAUUCCUCAUCUGACUUCCGGAUGAACGGAGACCACCCUGGUCCCUACCAACCUAUCAAUAUCUGGAUUACCGGCUCCCACCGGUAACUAGACCCAACACAACUCCUAAUCGCUCGCAGCGACUUUCGAAGAAACUUCAACCAUAUAACUGCUNCUCAAUCUAUUCUUCCAUACAGGCACUAUAAUUCCUGGGAUCCCCGAUCCCCUAUCUUGACACUAAGGUCCCUACCAGGUCCCACUUGUGCUGCUAAAACUCACGAGCCUCGCCCACGGGUCUCACCCGCCUCUAUAUCCUGGAGCGGCCUCUCCCAAGGUCUCACCUCUCUAGGGCUAUACAGGCAAACUCCCUAUCAUUCUCAUCCACUACCCAUUCCUGAUCCCUAUCCGAUCACUAGGAGAUAAGGGCUCGCCCCAACUCCGCCAACGAAGCUACUAUGGAAUGCUAUGGCUUACCCGCAGUCUUACAUCACCUUCCAUCACUGACUGAUAGUGAAUGCUACGGCUGCCCCAUAGUCUUACGACACUUUCCAUCAUUGACUGCUAGUGAAUGCUAUGGUUGCCACGUAGUCUUACAACACCUUCCACCACUGACUGCUAGUGAAUGUUAUGGUUGCCCCGUAGUCUUACAACACUUUCCACCAUUGACUGCUAGUACGAAAGCACCCCGUGUUAUCAGUUCGCAAGAUCCUCCUUCUGACUCACUCGAGUCCUACAGGCGAUCCUCCAACCUGAAUUCCUAACCACAUACUAACCAUCAUCAAUACACGCACUGGUUGAAGGGGAGCUUCUCAAACUUCUAACCCUGAACUCCUCAAUCCAUCAAACGUUGUACCACUUCUUUUCCUUCUUGGAGGCCGCGCACUCAUUAUGGAUUUGCGUGCUCUUACCCUUUCACGCUCGGAGGAUUCUCCCCCACUUCGAUCCUGCUUAACCCUUGCUGCUCAAUGCUCGAAAAGAAAUCCCAAUCCUCGCUACCAUUCCAUAAUCAACCUGCUGAGGAACCCCAAGCUUACCAUAGCUAGGGAUCUAACCAGUCCAUUUCUACAACUAUAUGGCUCCAAACUAGCGAGACAUACCAAGUCCCUCCCACACAUGCUACAGUUACUGCAUCUUAAGCAACCUCCCCCAAUAGGGCACAUCCCCUAACUACCAUUCAAAUAUCCAAGGUAUACAGAUAGCAUAUAACUCGAUCACAAUCAAGCCGCUCAAAAAAAAUUACUCAUACCGAUAACGAUGCAGAACCAUAACAAUAUAAUCAUGCACAAAUAAAAGAACCGAAAACGGAAAUCACAUACCUGCAACGUUCGAUGCUGCUCGCGCCUCCAAGGUAGUUAUCUGAAAAGCCCUACCUCCUACCGCAGGCGCCUCUGCACGGCCUUGACGGCCGUCUAUGAUCCACAAAGUUCCAGGGGCAGGUGUCAUCACCCGUCCUACCGGAAGCAAACUAGGGCACUGGGCCUUCUUGUGGCCCUGCUGAUUGCAGUGAAAACAUAUCAAGUAGGAUCCCUGAGUGGUGGUAACAGUACAAUCACUGCUGAAAUGACCAGUCCGACCGCACUUGAAGCAGCCAGACUCACCACCGCUACCACCCCUGCACGCGCCCCCUUGUGCCCUGCCACACUUCCCGCAUCGGCUGCGGUCCUGAUAAUCCCUCGAUAUCGAAUCCGACCCCUUGGGCCAUUUGCCCAAAUCCGCGGCUAUCUGAACCUCAUCCGGCUUCCUCUUCCGGAUCUGCUCCAAAUCAAUCUCCCUCUCUCUAGCCCGAGAAAUCAUAUCUUCCAACGUCUUACAGUCGGACCUACUCACGAACUCCCUGAUGUCAGCCCUUAACAUCUCAUGGUAUCGGGCCUUCUUCAUCUCCUCGUCCGCAACAUACUGCGGUACAAGAAGAGCCCUCUCCAUGAACUUGGCGGUGAUCUCCGCCACAGUCUCAGUGGUCUGCGUCAAAUCCUGAAACUCCCGUGCCAACUGCUGUACCUCAACAAUCAGCGAAAACUCCGCCCUGAACCUGGCCGAGAAAUCGCUCCAAGUCAUCGCGUCCAACGUGGCAUCAUCCCCAGAGCAUGACCAAUCUCCUCCCACCAAUCCCUUGCUCUGUCCUUCAGAAGACAGGAAGCGAGUCUGACCUUGUCCCCCUCAGGACACCGGCUCGUACGGAAUGCGUUGGCAACAUCAGCCAACCAUCUGCUGCUAGCGAUGGGGUCCCUAGCCCCAUGAUAAUCUGGUGCCCCGCAAGCCCUGAACUCUCGAAAUGUCAAGGUACGCACUCCCAUCAAAGCCAUCAUCUCCGUACGGAAGGCUCCCAGCCUCUCAUCCAAAAUCUCCAAUAUACCCUCCUUGACCGUGCCAAAGAUCACAGGAGUCUGAUCUAGAAUACUGCGCGUAACCUCGGCUGAUAUCAACUCCCUCAUUCGCUCCUCAAGCUGCUCGGCUCCUGAACCCGAGCCUGAUCCCUCUCCGGCGCCUGGUCCGCUCACUGGUCUCUCUCGCAACGUCACCAUGCUGAAAAUAUAAUACAUCAUCUAUCAGAAUACUUAUAGCUACUGCGAGACCAAACACACGCACUACCAGGUUCCCGGUCUUGUCUCGGCCUUUCCCGAAUCGAGUACGAAUCCUCUGCUUUCAGUAGUACGGGCCCAUACUACCUUCCACAUCUAUCUGUACUUUCCUCAAGAAUUGCUUCGACUCCACCAAGUCCCUUUUCCACUACUACUGCUCCCAGCACUAUCUCAUCUUAGGCUUACCCUAGGGAAACCUCUGACUCAACUCAAACCAGUCCUCAGCUACUGAAGGUCUCCUUGUGAUGCCAAUUAGCCACUACCUGGAUACCAUCUCAUGUGACGAGGCUCAGAUAAUCCUUCAAAUAAAUGACUCGUCCCUACAACGGUUGGACUCAAACGAGAGCUGCGCAAUACGGCCAAAUCCAGCACUCUGAGAUUAUUCAAACCUGAUCACAUGUGACGUGAUGUAUUCACCUAAUGGCUAACUCACAUCACUCAGAAUCCCACAAUGCACAAAGCAAGCAGCAUUCAGACAAGGGAAAAUCUAACCAUAACAUACUCAAUCAAUCAUAAUCUCAUAGCAAGAAUCAGCAUUAUCAUGCAGUUCAAAGCACAUAUAAUAGGAACAUAAGGCAUCCUCCUUAGUUCCUUAGUCCUAAUCUAGCAUGUUGUUCUACUAACUGAUAAUCAUAACAUAAACUUGUAUGGGUAUUUUGGGGUACUUACUUGAGCUCGGCUGAUUGCAUGCACCACACCCUCUUUUUUUUUCAAAGUUCUUUUCUUUCCGAAUUCUUUUUGCUUUUCUAAAACUGUUUCAUUCUAAAAACUUCCUUUUUACAAAACUGUCUUUUCAUUUUUGAAAACUUUUUAUCCGACCUCUUAGUUUGGUUCAGGCACACCCGAGAGUAUGUCUGAAUCCCUCAAACCAAGGCUCUGAUACCAACUUGUAACGUCCCAAAAUUUAAGACUAAAAAUUUCUUUUAAUAAAACAUUACUUAAAGCAAAGUCAUCAAUCCCAAACAUAAUCAGAGUAUUAAUUUCCAAAACACAUGUUCGUUAUCAGAGUAAACAUUCCCAGGCUGUCUAAUAUAUGGUGUGUGCCAUGCGAUCACCCCGAGCUCUCCCCUUCGCUACCGGAAGUACCUGAAACCAAAACUGAAAACCGUUAGCACGAAGCUUAGUGAGUUCCCUACCCUACCACAUACCAUGCAUAACCACACACUGCACACACUGGGCCACGCCCGCUAUCCUGGGCCUCGCCCCUACCUCGGACCUCGCCCGCUACAACGGCCCCGCCGCUCCAGGCCCCGCCUGGCUUCGAGCCCCGCUCGGAUACAGAUCUGUUUCACUUAGGCCUUGCCCGCUAACAUAUAAUAGCACACAAACAUAACACAUCACAUAAGCUAAACACAUACUAACAGAUCUUGUCCUAAGGCCUCGCCUGUCGCUGGGCCUCGCCCGCCUCCUGCUACUGAUGAGUCAUGGAACCCCGUCCAUACUCCUGCUGAUAAUGAAGUACGGGCCCAACCCACCCUCACUCCUUCCCUAACUUGGGCUUCGCCCAUGAUCUGCUGCUAAUGAGAUGUGGAACACCAUCCACAAUCUGCUAUCGGUGAGUUACGAGACCUCGCCCUCACUCACCUCCCUACCAGGCACAUACAAGUAUCACACAGAUAGCAAGUAUAACUAUCACAUAAACCAUUCCUUGGGCACCCGCCCGCUAUCAUUGGACCUCGUCAUGAAUAUCAUACUAGCAUACUGUGCCUAGGGCUAACCCCCGGGUCUUCUACUCAUAACUAUAUGGGCCGGUAUUGUGGCCGUAGACCCAUUCACACAAAAGGGAAACUCACCUGCACUUGUUGAACUUGCUGAUAGCCC
rnacentral:lncRNA from 1 species